UUAUGGUCCUGAUUUUUUUUUUUAUCAGAAACGGAGUUAUUAUUUUAGCUUUAUACUUUUAUAACGUAUGAGAAAAACGCGACGAGGAUUAUUGAGCCAUUCAAUAAUUUAUUAUCCAGUUUAAUAACUGACUUAGCAAAGUCAAGUUAUUAAUAGAAAUAUUAUUUCUAUUAUUUACUUGGAAGUCGUGAUCUAAUUCCGAAUCAUAAGAACGAGUUAAAUUAGAUAUUUAAUUCGUAGAGAGUUAUAACGAAGCGUCGUUAUUUAGUAGAACCCAAUAUUAGUUUUACAAAUACUUGAUUAAUUAAUAUUAAUCAAGCUAGAUGAUUUUUUUUAUUAGUAACCUCAAUUCUAUUUACUUUACCAUCAUCAUUAUUCUUUCCACUCCCUAAUGUCUCCUACACUAUCAACAUACCAUAGCAUAAUUUAGACCUCAAGCAUGAAGCAUGUAUAUACGUUGACCACAUGAGUAACAUCAUAAGCCUCUUUCAUACAUAGCAUAAUCAAUCAAGAAGACAACCAAAUCAAUUAGCAAAAGCAAAAGCUCUUCAAUCACCAACUCCACUCCACCAACUCCACUCCACCACUACACUCCCACACCCACCUACUCCCUCCACUUAAGUCAUUUGGCUGAAACAUAUCCUCACACAACCUUUAGCCCCACUAAGAAGAGUAAAAGCCUCACUUCCCCUCCAUAUUCCCUCCAUUUUCGUCCCUCCUCCUUUCCUCCACUCUCACAACUAUUCUCCCACCAUUAUCACACUCCAUAGAAGCCCUUGAUGCCCCAAGAGAAGUAGCAAAGCAAGGGAGAGCGUGGAAAAACUAGGGCGUAAAGUUAGAGUGAAGGUUGUGCUUCGAGGGUGAGUUUUCUUUGCUUUUUCUCAACUGAAAAUGCUUUAUGGCCAUGGAUUUUUACACAUAUGUGUGCUAAAUUAUGUGAGGAUAUGUUUUAUGAUUUUGGAUGAUUAUUUUGGUAGAGUUUAUUGGGUGAAAAACCGUGCAUGAGGUAAGGCAGCGAAUCUGCCAUAAGCACACUGCUCCGACAGUGUUUUGCAAGGCGAUUCCAGCCAUCCAAAAGGUUCCCAAAAAUUCCCAAAUUAAUUGUGUAUCAUCUUUCAUAUGUUUUCUAUACUUUGGCAAAAUUUCAGAAGGUUUGAAGCUCUUAUGAUUUAUUUAUGAAUUUGUAAACAUCACUGCCCAUCUGGAAUACAUUUUUGGUAAACAAUCUUUGGGAGGCCAUAAGUAAAGUUUCAAUCGGUGAAAACCUUUGAAACUUGAAUAUGUCACUCUAGACUCCCGUAUCUUUCUUUUGACAUCGGCCUCACCAUUUUUGAAUAAGGGAAACAACCGGUAUAAAUUCUUGAAAUCUAGUUCUUAUUCCUUGUACCAUCCAGUAGAUUUUACAAACCUACGACUUUGAGGUGGCAAAUACCGACUUAAAUCUUUGAUUCUCAAGCCUAUCUUUCUACUGAAUAUUCACUGACAUGUUGGGAACUUACUUGUUCAGUUUUAGAAUUUUUGGUGAAGCCUAAAGUGGUUUUUCCGAUUUAUGUUCUGAAUCUGCCAAACUUGAACUCUUUUUGUGCACUGAACUUUAGAUAGUCAUAUCUUCUAAACCAUGAAUGUUCUUAGAGUAAAUCCAACUGGAGAGUGUUAUGAUCUCUCCCUAGUUUCCAGAUUGACCCUUGGGGUUCCCAGUGGAGUUUUGUAAAGGGAGAUAUGAAUUUUUAAAGAAAGCCCACUGACUUGGUUGUAAUCUGGAAAUCUGAAAUUUUCAGAUUUUUGCUAGUUAAAUACCCAUCUUUGAGAGGGCAUAUCUUGCUCGUUUGAAUUGUUUUUCAUUCGAUUCAAAUUGGAGAAUGAUCCUUGAAAUGUCUAGUUUCCAGAAUGUCUUUUGGAGCCUCAUUUGGAGAUCCGAGGCAGAUUUGGUGUCUGUUGCAAAACAACCUCUUAAGAGCUCAAGUUGUUGAAUUAUUUUCUAUGUAUCAAAGUUUAUUUUAAAGGAUGUUUCAUGAAAGAUUUAGUAUAUGUGCGUAACAAGUUUGGGAAUAUUUAUUUUAAAUGAGGUCCGUUCUUUAUUUAAAUUAUGAUGGACUUUUAAUGAAUAUUUUUGGGAUUAAACUCUUAUUUCUGGAUUUAUAUAAAUUAUUUUUUUAAGGACUUAUAAAUAUGAAUUUCGUAGGCCUACUGACCUACUGUGAUCGACGGUUUGUCGAUGUCUAAUAGCUUUGAAAACUUUAUAGCAAGUCCCUACAUGAGUCUUGAGUACCCUGGUAAAAUUUCAAGCCAUUCCAACUUCGUUUGAUACUUCUUUAAAAUGCAAAACCUAAACUGCACAUAACUACCGAGAAUUUCAGAGAACAGAUGAAAGAGUCAUUUAUUUCAGUAGCUUCCUGUGUGAUCUAGCUUUCCAAAUUUUUAUGGUAUUAACCUUAUUGUGUUAGCUAGAUAUCCACCAAAGUUGAGCCCAGUUUGACAACGUUUACUAUUUUUCAAAAAUCCAAGUUUUCGAUUGUUCAAAACUGCCGAACAUGGUAGAUCGUGGUAAAAACGUCAUAUCUCUCAAACCACUUGGAGUUUUCGACUCUACGUUUUUUUAUAUGAAACUAGAUUCGAAGAUCUUUCUUUCGGUAUGAGUCUCGAGUCCAGGAGAUGUCGGAGUCAGAACAGAUUAAAUUUUGAAGUUGAGUCAGUGUAAAAAUAGAGCAUGUUUUAAUGAUGUUUUUGGACUUCGGACUUUAAAGCGAACUAUUAUCAUUUAUUUCUUUAAAGCCACUGGUUUAUUUAAUUAAUUGGCUACUCUCUUUUGAGCCUAUUAAUUAUUUGAGGUUACGCUAGUAAUGAUGUAACGAAUUAUGGAUGCUAGAACCCUAAAACACUAAAAGAUACCCUAGGCACGUAGAAUUAGACUUUGUCUUAUGACAAUUACUUCACGAACUUAUCGACUCUUCAUCAAUGAAGGUCCGGGCGACAGAAAGUGAAGCCGAAGAAGAAACGACUCCACGCCAGCUUUAAGAACAAUUGAGAAUGCCGCCUAAGAGAGGACGCCCUGCGAAAAACAAUAACAAUCGCAGAAACCGUAACGCUGUACCCGAAGAACCACAAGAUGCUCGAGGACAUAACCCAUCCCCUCCGCCUCCGACUAGGAGAGUCGAAGAACUCUUUUUAAGGCAAAAUCCACCUACGUUUGACGGAACGAGUGAACCGGCUGAAGCUGAGAUUUGGGUGCGUGCAAUGGAACGCAUUUUCAACUUUCUACGUUGUACUGAUGAGGAGCGCCUAUCUUGCGUCUCUUUCCAACUAACAGGAUCAGCUGACUUCUGGUGGGAAGCACGUCGAAAAAUUCUGACACCGGAACAAUGGGCAAUCUAUACUUGGGAAGAUUUUAAGACGGGAUUAUAUGAUAAAUAUAUCCCGAAAAGCUAUAGGAAGAAGAAAGAAGCUGAGUUCUACGAGUUAAAGCAAGGAAAGAAAUCUGUGGUUGAAUACGACAAGGAAUUCUGCAACCUGUCGAGGUUUGCUCCACAACAAGUGGACACAGAUGAGAAGAUGGCAGAAAAAUUUUGUGCCGGUCUACGGUACGAAAUUAAGAUGGCUCUAGCAAGCCACGGAGGACUCUCAUACACGGAGUCUCUGAACAGGGCACUUGACAUUGAAGCUGCAAUGCCGUCAGACAAGUCUGCCCCACCAUUGAUCUCAACGCCAAAUGAUCCACCAGUAGCCUCACAUACUCUCAAAGGGAAGCGCAAGUGGGACAACAACGAAGACAAUAUCAAUCAGACUAGUAAGAAAGUGUGGCAAGAAAAGGAACGGGCCGAACAAUUUAUUCAACCAAGGUACGAGGCACGAACUAACCUCGAGUCAACUGGGGGUAGCCAAAGUCAGAGAGGAAUUUCACCUUGCCCAAAUUGUGGUAAGAUGCAUAGGGGUAUCUGUCGAGCUGGAACUAACGGUUGUUACAAUUGUGGCCAAAAAGGUCACUACUCCACGCAAUGCCCCAACAAACAACGAGGUUCAGUAAUUGGGAACACCUGCACCCCCUUGCCAGCAAUACGUGGACACUUGCGAAAUCAGUCUCAAUCACAUCAGUGAAAAUCUUAUGGAGACACCGCAGACAAGAGAAGCUACGCGGGAACUUGAAGACAAGAUGAAGGAAAAAUACCCCGAACUGUUUUAGCAGAGAUAUGCAAAUUUCGGGACGAAAUUUUUGUUAAGAAGGGUAGUAUGUAGUAGCCCGCUCUUUUAAUUAUGAGUAAAACUAGUAAAUGCAAUUUUUAUAAAUGAAUCCAGUUUAUGGUCCUGAUUUUUUUUUUUAUCAGAAACGGAGUUAUUAUUUUAGCUUUAUACUUUUAUAACGUAUGAGAAAAACGCGACGAGGAUUAUUGAGCCAUUCAAUAAUUUAUUAUCCAGUUUAAUAACUGACUUAGCAAAGUCAAGUUAUUAAUAGAAAUAUUAUUUCUAUUAUUUACUUGGAAGUCGUGAUCUAAUUCCGAAUCAUAAGAACGAGUUAAAUUAGAUAUUUAAUUCGUAGAGAGUUAUAACGAAGCGUCGUUAUUUAGUAGAACCCAAUAUUAGUUUUACAAAUACUUGAUUAAUUAAUAUUAAUCAAGCUAGAUGAUUUUUUUUAUUAGUAACCUCAAUUCUAUUUACUUUACCAUCAUCAUUAUUCUUUCCACUCCCUAAUGUCUCCUACACUAUCAACAUACCAUAGCAUAAUUUAGACCUCAAGCAUGAAGCAUGUAUAUACGUUGACCACAUGAGUAACAUCAUAAGCCUCUUUCAUACAUAGCAUAAUCAAUCAAGAAGACAACCAAAUCAAUUAGCAAAAGCAAAAGCUCUUCAAUCACCAACUCCACUCCACCAACUCCACUCCACCACUACACUCCCACACCCACCUACUCCCUCCACUUAAGUCAUUUGGCUGAAACAUAUCCUCACACAACCUUUAGCCCCACUAAGAAGAGUAAAAGCCUCACUUCCCCUCCAUAUUCCCUCCAUUUUCGUCCCUCCUCCUUUCCUCCACUCUCACAACUAUUCUCCCACCAUUAUCACACUCCAUAGAAGCCCUUGAUGCCCCAAGAGAAGUAGCAAAGCAAGGGAGAGCGUGGAAAAACUAGGGCGUAAAGUUAGAGUGAAGGUUGUGCUUCGAGGGUCCGGGCGACAGAAAGUGAAGCCGAAGAAGAAACGACUCCACGCCAGCUUUAAGAACAAUUGAGGUUGAGCUGUGAUGGGCGAUGAAGUGUUGCUGAGUGGGAGUUUUUGUCGAACUUAAAGUAGGCUCAGAAAGGAUACAUGUCUUCAUACAUGUAUCACAGUUAUGCUUUCCGCUGUAAACACUGAUUAUUUCAGUUACGCCUUCCGUUGCAAACUCUGAUAAUGUUUUAGCCAAGCCCCUAAUGAUGCCUUUUUCCUUUUAAGGAAUAUAACGCGUAUACAAGUUCUUUGAGUA